GGGAGCCUCGGGAGAGGACUGACGAGAGAGGGAGCUGCCUUUGGCAGCACGGGGUCAGCGAGAAGAAGUCAGAGGGGAGUGAAGGCAGGAGAGCAAGUCAGGGACUUGCCAUGCGAAAAAUAUAAGGGAGGUGAGUGAGAGACAGGUGGCGGGGAGAGAGGCAGCAGCUACUGCGCAGAGCAGAAGCAGAGAUCAGUCAGGACAGCAAGGUCAGGCGCGCGAAGAAAGGGAGGUGUACUGCCUCUUGGGCAGCGUGAUGCAGAGAGCAGAACCUGUGGAGCGCCAAUUCACUCAUCUUUCGGUUAAAUCUUUCCAAACUUAUGUUUUACUUUUGGUUUAAUUUGAUAAAAAUGUGUAACUAAAUUUAUUUUGGCUAGAGGUUAAUUCAAAAGCCAUGAAUAUAUUUGUAAUAUGAAUUGAUUACCUUCAGUUGUGAUUUCUGAGUUGUGAUUUAAUUUGCUUAACUGC
rnacentral:lncRNA from 1 species